CUUGAUGUAUUACUUGGACGACCGCAGAAAGCGUGUUUACACUUUAAAAAAACUUGUUAAUAACGAGUGUACAAAGUCUGCUCAUCCAGCACGUUUCUCCCCUGAUGAUAAGUUUUCGAGGCAGAGAUAUUUAUUAAAAAAACGUUAUGGGCUUCUACUAACGCAACAAGAGCCUCAGCAAUUUUG